rnacentral:rRNA from 1 species
GAUGAACGCUGGCGGCGUGCCUAAUACAUGCAAGUCGAGCGAACAGACGAGGAGCUUGCUCCUCUGACGUUAGCGGCGGACGGGUGAGUAACACGUGGAUAACCUACCUAUAAGACUGGGAUAACUUCGGGAAACCGGAGCUAAUACCGGAUAAUAUAUUGAACCGCAUGGUUCAAUAGUGAAAGACGGUUUUGCUGUCACUUCUCGAUGGAUCCGCGCCGCAUUAGCUAGUUGGUAAGGUAACAGCUUACCAAGGCAACGAUGCGUAGCCGACCUGAGAGGGUGAUCGGCCACACGGGAGCGGGACCGCGGACCUGGCGCCUGCGGGAGGCAGCAGUAGGGUAUGGGACGCAAUAGGCGGAAACCUGACGGAACGGCGCCACGUGUGAGGUAGAGGUCUUCGGAGCGGAAAACUCUGUUAUUAGUGAAAAACAAAUGUGUAAGUAACUGUACACGUCUUGACGGUACCUAGUCAGAAAGCCACGGCUAACUACGUG